AGGUGGCUUCGAGUUCGAGAGUUGAGCAAGUUCAAGGCUCGGAAGAAAAGGGCACGGACCAGAGAGUCGCAGAAGAAGACGAACAGAGUCGAGAAGAGACCGUUGGAGUUACCAGCGGGUUUUAGGUUUCACCCGACGGACGACGAGUUGGUGAACCAUUACCUGAUUCGCAAGUGCGCUUCGCAAUCCAUCUCCGUCCCCAUCAUUGCCGAGAUCGAUCUCUACAAGUUCGACCCUUGGGACCUUCCUGUAAUUGCAGGACAUGCUUGGGAAUUAGAGUAUAAAAGCAAAUGCUCCCGGGGACAAUCUAUUUGUGGCUAUUUCAGUUCAGCAUCCCAAGCUUGAUGCCCCAUAAGGUGGCAUUAUGGAUAUACUAGCAUGAGGGGCAUAUCGAAGUUCUAUGAUGGCAAGUCGAAAUCUUUCACAAGCUUAGCAGAUGCUUCUGCUUCUUCAUCUGUUAAAGAGAUCGUGAAACCGGAAAAUGCUUACAGCAGAAGGCGCAGAAAUAUCUUCGCAUCCAGUCACGUGUCGGACAGAAGCCGCAAUUUUUCCCUGAGAAGCAACAUGGUGGGGAUAUCUAAGAGAAGACCGCUCACCUCGAGCAACAGCGCAUUGGUCUUGAAGGUUGCUGCUAUGUGCAACUCAGAGAGUUUUAGUUCCGCGAGUGAAGACUAGUACGAGCUCAGCAUCACGAUCUCCUCCUCAGCUUCCGCCUCUUCAUCCACGUAGAAAGGGUUCUCAUAACCAGAUAGCUUCUCCUCAAUGGAAUUUUUCGCCUUAGCGGUCAUACUCCUUGGCUGAUCCGCAGCAGUGUUCGAGCCCAUCGAGCCCGGUCCUUUCUGACUCAAUGUCUGAAAAUGGGAGGGGAAGGGACGCACGCUUGCGUGCAAAUGGGAGAAUGGUGCAGAGUUGCGGGCCCCGGCUCCACGUGUCGACACGUGUCGAAUCCUGAUUGGGCGGGCACACAGUGACUUGGAGGCCCACCU